AUUCAUUUGAUGCUUCCUCUGAUAAAUUUCAAAAUUCCAUUCAUUAUUUGAAUUCAUUACUCCAAAAUUUACCCACAAGGGCAAAUGAAAGAAAUAUUUUCAGUGAAUGUGUUGAGAGAUUUAGAAAAGAUAUUGAUGCAUCUCUUUCUUCCAAAUUUACACCAAACCCUGGGUCAGAGAACAUGCCUAUCAAACGAAUGCCACCAUGGUUUAGUCCAAGUAAAAUGCACAAACGUCAUUCUAUUCAUCAAAGACGUAAUGUCAUUUCUCAAGACUUGAACAAAAGAGUGGAGUGUGAAAAUUUCCAAUUCCCCUCUAUAGGAUGUAGAAAGAAGAAGAAAAAGAAGGUCACUAAUCGCUCAGGCAUAGCGAUACAAGAAGAAAGUCUUAUUAUCAUGCAACAACAAAGUGAGUACAUUUAUUAUAAAGUAUUUUGGUAAUUUACAUAGCAAUGUCUUAUUUUUAUUUCAUAUAUUAAACAUAUGUUAUUGUAGGUUUGGAUGAUCAAGCAAAUACUCGACGACGUCGAUUGCCUUUUUCCAUUGAUCUAAACCAAACAAUAACAGAUGAAAUAGACCAUAUAGAUGAUAAAAUUUGUGGAGAUCAACCAUCAAUGGCCAAUGUUAUCCCCACUCAGACAUUUCAACAAGCCAAUCCAGUUUUAAAUGAUCAACAAAUACAUGAAGAACAUAUGUUGCCCUUUCCUACGGAUCUUAACCAAACAACAACAAUGGAUGCAAUGCAAACUAGAGAUGGUAGUGAUGAUACUAUAAUGGAGGAUCAUGGUCAAUAUUUUCCUGGAUAACCAUUAUGGUGUAGGAUACUUUAUUGUAAUGGAUUAUCUAUUGAGUGUGUAACUCUAUUUAGAAAUUGGAUCUUGGAUGGAGUGGCUUGU